GAUGAACGCUGGCGGCGUGCCUAAUACAUGCAAGUCGAGCGAACAGACGAGGAGCUUGCUCCUCUGACGUUAGCGGCGGACGGGUGAGUAACACGUGGAUAACCUACCUAUAAGACUGGGAUAACUUCGGGAAACCGGAGCUAAUACCGGAGAAUAUAUUGAACCGCAUGGUUCAAUAGUGAAAGACGGUUUUGCUGUCACUUAUAGAUGGAUCCGCGCCGCAUUAGCUAGUUGGUAAGGUAACGGCUUACCAAGGCAACGAUGCGUAGCCGACCUGAGAGGGUGAUCGGCCACACUGGAGCUGAGACGCGGACCAGGCGCCUACGGGAGGCAGCAGUAGGGAAUCUUCGGCAGUGGGCGAAAGCCUGACGGAGCAACGCCGCGUGAGUGAUGAAGGUCUUCGGAUCGUAAAACUCUGUUAUUAGGGAAGAACAACUGUGUAAGUAACUAUGCACGUCUUGACGGUACCUAAUCAGAAAGCCACGGCUAACUACGUG
rnacentral:rRNA from 1 species